rnacentral:rRNA from 1 species
GUCUGUGGCCACACCACUCUGAACACACCCAAUCUUAUUGGAUCUUGGAAGUUAAGCAGGGUCAGACCUGGUUAGUAUUUGGAUGGGAGACCAUCUGGGAAUAUUGGAUGCUGUAGGCU